CGUGAUGUCACGCGCCGUCCUGCAUCAACCGCGGCUGGAGGAUAAUGCGCCAAACUAACUCUUACCACACUGACACGGUCAUAUGAAGAAAAAGGAAAGCUGCGAGAACAAAAGAUCACCUGUGGCUGCUGGAAGUGGCAAUCAAACAGGAUGGGGGUGUUUCCUAGGAUGACUCCCUGGUCCAAACAGUGGCUCGUAAAAAGGGUGCUCUGUAGCUGCACAGCUCACUGCCAUGAGAGAUGCAAGCGGGACGAGAUGUGAGGACAGAGGAGCUGACAUCAGUUACUUAUGACCCAUAAUUUUAGGCAGAAUCUUCGCACCCUACUCCACCCUGGUCACCUCCAGCCAUCGUAUCCAGAGUCCAGGGCAAGCUCUCAAAGACUCUUUCCUCUACUCAUCCAGAUCAUCGGCACUUCUCCAUCUUCCUCUCAUCUCAUCUUCACCACUUCUACCACCACCAGUGUCUGGGUUCCCUAUUCAACUAUGGAUUC